rnacentral:rRNA from 1 species
UACGUAGGUGGCGAGCGUUGUCCGGAUUUACUGGGCGUAAAGGAUGCGUAGGCGGAUAUUUAAGUCAGAUGUGAAAUUCCCGAGCUUAACUUGGGAACUGCAUUUGAAACUGGAUAUCUAGAGUGCAGGAGAGGUAAGUGGAAUUCCUAGUGUAGCGGUGAAAUGCGUAGAUAUUAGGAGGAACACCAGUGGCGAAGGCGACUUACUGGACUGUAACUGACGCUGAGGCAUGAAAGCGUGGGUAGCAAAC